GGUGUGUAAAUGUGUUACUUGUUUGCUCAGCAAGUCGGACAAACCUUGCAAACUGUUAACCCGAAUAAUUCAGUCGUUAUAUUCCGCUUACUACAUUAAGUAAGUAGGAGAGAUCGAUUACGGGGAGGGACUGAAUUAUUCGGGUUAGCAAACUGUAUGCAAAAUUUCACAAAUUUCAACAUUCUGUCAUUUGUGAAAAAUUAUUUACAUAACAAAUCUUGAGAUCAUAUAUGCAUUCUUUAUAUAAGUAAAACAACUGCGAAAUUUAAAAGUUCCAGCUUGAAAUUCAACCUGUAUCAGAUGUAAGCCGGAGUCUGUACUCUGUGUGCCUUUGUAUUUUAUCAAAAUGCCUAAUCCAGCAACCUGUCAUGAAACAAAAAAAAAAAAACUCCAGACGCAUAUGCGCACCUAUAAUAUGAGUAGUAACACCAGGUACAUAGUUUUAAAGCUGAAGCAAAACUACUGUAGUCCUAAAUAAUUAGCCGAAUUAACCCUAUAUAUACUAAGUGCGGGAUUAACGGUCGAACGGACAAAUGUUAAACAAUAUGAUGAUACGUGCUCUAUAAGUAAUUUG
rnacentral:lncRNA from 1 species